GGUCAGCGUUGGUCCUCGAGCCGCUGACUCUUAAUCAGCGGGUCCCAGGUUCGAGCCCUGGUGCGCCCACCA
rnacentral:tRNA from 1 species